rnacentral:rRNA from 1 species
AUUGAACGCUGGCGGCAUGCCUUACACAUGCAAGUCGAACGGCAGCGGGGGAGAAGCUUGCUUUUCCUGCCGGCGAGUGGCGAACGGGUGAGUAAUACAUCGGAACGUGCCCUGUAGUGGGGGAUAACUAGUCGAAAGAUUAGCUAAUACCGCAUACGACCUGAGGGUGAAAGUGGGGGACCGCAAGGCCUCAUGCUAUAGGAGCGGCCGAUGUCUGAUUAGCUGGUUGGUGGGGGAAAGGCCUACCAAGGCGACGAUCAGUAGCUGGUCUGAGAGGACGAUCAGCCACACUGGGACUGAGACACGGCCCAGACUCCUACGGGAGGCAGCAGCGGGGAAUUUUGGACAAUGGGCGAAAGCCUGAUCCAGCAAUGCCGCGUGUGUGAAGAAGGCCUUCGGGUUGUAAAGCACUUUUGUCCGGAAAGAAAUGGCUCUGGUUAAUACCUGGGGUCGAUGACGGUACCGGAAGAAUAAGGACCGGCUAACUACGUGCCAGCCGCCGCCGUAA